GGAAUUGUUCACAAUGGGCGCAAGCCUGAUGACGCAACGCCGCGUGGGGGAUGAAGGUCUUCGGAUCGUAAACCCUUGUCGAACGGGAAGAAUGACUCGCGUACUAAUACCGCGCGGGAAUGACGGUAUCGUUAAAGGAAGCCACGGCUAACUCUGUGCCAGCAGCCGCGGUAAUACAGAGGUGGCAAGCGUUGUUCGGAAUUACUGGGCGUAAAGGGCGCGUAGGCGGCCAUCUAAGUCAGACGUGAAAUCCCCCGGCUUAACCUGGGAACUGCGUCUGAUACUGGAAGGCUCGAGUUUGGGAGAGGGAUGCAGGAUUCCAGGUGUAGCGGUGAAAUGCGUAGAUAUCUGGAGGAAUACCGGUGGCGAAGGCGGCAUCCUGGACCGACAUUGACGCUGAGGAGCGAAAGCUAGGGGAGCAAAC
rnacentral:rRNA from 1 species